AGUGAACGCUGACGGCGUGCUUAACACAUGCAAGUCGAACGAGAACGGGUUAUAACUUGUUAUAACUGUCAGCUAAGUGGCGCACGGGUGAGUAAUGUAUAGGUAAUAUGCCUCUUACUAAGGGAUAACAAAUGGAAACGUUUGCUAAUACCUUAUACUCCUUAUUAACCUAAGUUAAUAAGGGAAAGAUUUAUUGGUAAGAGAUUAGCCUGUAUUGUAUCAGUUAGUUGGUGGGGUAAUGGCUUACCAAGACUAUGACACAUAACUGGUUUGAGAGGAUGAUCAGUCACACUGGAACUGAGACACGGUCCAGACUCCUAUGGGAGGCAGCAGUGGGGAAUAUUGCACAAUGGACGAAAGUCUGAUGCAGCAACGCCGCGUGGAGGAUGACACAUUUCGGUGCGUAAACUCCUUUUAUAUGAGAAGAUAAUGACGGUAUUAUAUGAAUAAGCACCGGCUAACUCCGUGCCAGCCGCCGCAGUAAAAC
rnacentral:rRNA from 1 species